AUGAUUCCAGGACCUGGAAUCAUACCAGCCGAUGGAAUUAACCGAUGGAACUCCAAGAAGGAUUGGCCGGUGCUGCCGGCUGGCGUCAAGUUCGAUCCCACGGAUCAGGAGCUGAUCGAGCACCUUGAGGCCAAAGUGAGUGCUAACAGCGCGAGAUCUCACCCUCUCAUCGAUUUGUUCAUACCAACCAUCGACAGCGAGCACGGCAUAUGCUACACCCAUCCUGAGAAACUUCCAGGUAUCACACUGAGUGGCCUAAGCAAGCAUUUCUUCCAGCGCAAUUCCAGGGCGUUCAAAAGGGGCACGUGGACGCGUCGCAAGAUACAGUUGGAGUGUGGCAUGCAGGCAAUGUGGCACAAGACCGGCAAUACCUUGCCGGUGAUGGUCAAUGGCCGGCAGACGGGCAGCAAAAAGGUUCUGGUGCUGCACACCAACAAGAACUUCGACCAUUCCUGCAAAAAAAAGAACUUUGACCAGCAUAGGACCAACUGGGUGAUGCACCAGUACCACCUCGGGGACCUGGAGCAAGAGUAG
rnacentral:rRNA from 1 species